GUGAAUCAUCAAAUUUUUGAACGCAAAUUGCACUUUCUGGUAUUCCGGAAAGUAUGCCUGUUUGAGGGUCAGUUAAUUAAAAAUCGGUGUUGUUGCUGCUUUUCGUGGUGACGUGUCGGAAUUGAGUUGUCUUAUUGUCGGUUAAGUGUCUUAAAAUUUUGCGUGAUUUUUGAACGUAUUUAAAUUUAUUACGUAAGUUUGCGA
rnacentral:misc_RNA from 1 species